rnacentral:rRNA from 1 species
AGAGUUUGAUCCUGGCUCAGGAUGAACGCUAGCGGCAGGCCUAACACAUGCAAGUCGAGGGGCAGCACGGUGUAGCAAUACACUGGUGGCGACCGGCGCACGGGUGCGUAACGCGUAUGCAACCUACCCAUAACAGGGGGAUAACACUGAGAAAUUGGUACUAAUACCCCAUAACAUCAGGACCGGCAUCGGUUCUGGUUGAAAACUCCGGUGGUUAUGGAUGGGCAUGCGUUGUAUUAGCUGGUUGGUGAGGUAACGGCUCACCAAGGCAACGAUACAUAGGGGGACUGAGAGGUUAACCCCCCACAUUGGUACUGAGACACGGACCAAACUCCUACGGGAGGCAGCAGUGAGGAAUAUUGGUCAAUGGACGCAAGUCUGAACCAGCCAUGCCGCGUGCAGGAAGACGGCUCUAUGAGUUGUAAACUGCUUUUGUACGAGAGUAAACGCUCUUACGUGUAAGAGCCUGAAAGUAUCGUACGAAUAAGGAUCGGCUAACUCCGUGCCAGCAGCCGCGGUAAUACGGAGGAUCCAAGCGUUAUCCGGAUUUAUUGGGUUUAAAGGGUGCGUAGGCGGUUUGAUAAGUUAGAGGUGAAAUACCGGUGCUUAACACCGGAACUGCCUCUAAUACUGUUGGACUAGAGAGUAGUUGCGGUAGGCGGAAUGUAUGGUGUAGCGGUGAAAUGCUUAGAGAUCAUACAGAACACCGAUUGCGAAGGCAGCUUACCAAACUAUAUCUGACGUUGAGGCACGAAAGCGUGGGGAGCAAACAGGAUUAGAUACCCUGGUAGUCCACGCAGUAAACGAUGAUAACUCGCUGUCGGCGAUACACAGUCGGCGGCUAAGCGAAAGCGAUAAGUUAUCCACCUGGGGAGUACGUUCGCAAGAAUGAAACUCAAAGGAAUUGACGGGGGCCCGCACAAGCGGAGGAACAUGUG